rnacentral:rRNA from 1 species
GAUGAACGCUGGCGGCGUGCCUAAUACAUGCAAGUCGAGCGAACAGACGAGGAGCUUGCUCCUCUGACGUUAGCGGCGGACGGGUGAGUAACACGUGGAUAACCUACCUAUAAGACUGGGAUAACUUCGGGAAACCGGAGCUAAUACCGGAUAAUAUAUUGAACCGCAUGGUUCAAUAGUGAAAGACGGUUUUGCUGUCACUUAUAGAUGGAUCCGCGCCGAAUUAGCUAGUUGGUAAGGUAACGGCUUACCAAGGCAACGAUGCGUAGCCGACCUGAGAGGGUGAUCGGCCACACUGGAACUGAGACACGGUCCAGACUCCUACGGGAGGCAGCAGUAGGGAAUCUUCCGCAAUGGGCGAAAGCCUGACGGAGCAACGCCGCGUGAGUGAUGAAGGUCUUCGGAUCGUAAAACUCUGUUAUUAGGGAAGAACAAAUGUGUAAGUAACUAUGCACGUCUUGACGGUACCUAAUCAGAAAGCCACGGCUAACUACGU